GGUGGUGGAGCUGCGUAGUGGAAUGUUUUGUUUAUGUUUAUUAUGUUAUCGUUACUUUAAGAUUAAUAUAUUUGUGUUUAAACAAAUCGAUGUCGUCGUUUAGGUCCUUUAAAAUUUUUUAUUGUUAACAUAACCAUUAAUUCAAUCAAGAUGCUGUAGUAAUAUAAAAGAAUUUAAACUGACUCUUUAGAGUUUGUAAUUAAGGUUAUAAGUGUAACAUGGCGGAUAGAGAUUUUCCGAGAAAUGAUCUUGAGGCUCCAUCCAAGCCACUGGUUCAGAGCUCUAUUUCAGAUGAAAAUCAGAAAUCAGAAUUGAAGCCUCCAGAAGUAUUGUUUGAAAGUUCCAAGGUAGUGGCACUUGAUGAUAGGAAGCAUAUUGGUAAUAAUGCUAACAGCAACAAUAGCAAUGGAGCACCAAAACCACAUCAGGUUGAGAGAGAAGGCAAUUGCUACUGUGGCAAGGAUCGUAACUUGAACAUCGUAGAGCUACUGUGUGCCAUCUGUUUCCGUUGGUACCAUGAAUCUUGCAUUGGUUACCAACUUGGAAAAUUGGUCCCGUUUAUGAUGAAUUAUUUUUUUGUUUGCAAAAAUUGUUCCCCCACGGGUCUUGAAAGCUUCAAAAAGAACCAAGCACCAUUUCCUCAGAUGUGUGUCACAGCACUUGGGAAUUUGAUGCAAGCCAGUGUGAAAGAAGGAUCACCACGUACAAUGUUCUCCAAGGAACGAGAUAUUAUUCCAUUCAUUGAUUCUCAUUGGGAGGGAAUGACCACAAUGCCUCGAAGAGUGACACAGUCAUGGCAUUCAACAAUUAAUCGGGCUCUGACGAAGGAUGUUGGGACACUGUUUAUAUGUGAAGAAGACUCCAGUGAUGGGGGCCAGCCCCUAUUUGGGCUGCUGGCUGCAGAUCUAACUCAUAUCAAACCAAAUUAUGAGGCAAUGAUUCGUGGGGGCCAUCUCAAAGUUACCGAUAUGGGCAUUCAGCAUGGUGGUGUUAAGGGUCGCAGCACAAAGAGAAAGCUGCCAGGUGGUGAUCAGGGUCAGGGAGCAGGCAAGAAAGGUCGAGGUGGUGGUGAGGCAGCUGCCCCUAAGCUUCCUGCUCAUGGGUACCCACUGGAGCAUCCGUACAACAAAGAUGGAUACCGUUACAUCUUAGCAGAGCCAGAUCCACAUGCACCAUUUCGACAAGAAUUUGAUGAAAGCAGUGACUGGGCUGGGAAACCUAUACCGGGUUGGCUGUAUCGCACUCUGAGUCCAAGCUCGGUCCUGCUAGCCCUGCAUGAUCGGGCUCCACAGCUGCGAAUAUCAGAGGAUCGCCUUGCCGUGACAGGGGAUAAGGGUUACUGCAUGGUCAGGGCAACACACGCUGUGAGCCGAGGCUCUUGGUACUGGGAGGCUACUAUUGAAGAAAUGCCAGAAUCAUCUGCAACCCGUCUUGGCUGGGCACAAGAAUAUGCGAAUCUACAGGCUCCCCUUGGUUACGACAAAUUUGGAUAUUCUUGGAGAUCUAGGAAGGGCACCAGGUUCCAUGAAUGCAGAGGAAAGCACUAUAGUUCAGGCUAUGGAGAGGGGGACACAUUGGGCUUUCUUAUCAUUCUUCCAGAAUCCCCUGAAAUUAAUUACAUUCCUCAUACAUACAAAGACAGGCCACUGGUGAAGUUCAAAAGUCAUUUAUAUUAUGAAGAGAAGGACCGAGUUACAGAAAGUUUGAAGGCACUGAAAGUUCUUUCAGGCAGUAAAUUGAUUUUCUUCAAGAAUGGAGCGUGUCAGGGGGUUGCCUUCAGUGACAUAUAUGGUGGACAUUACUUCCCUACACUUUCUAUACACAAAAGUGCUACUGUUUCUGUCAAUUUUGGCCCCAACUUCAAAUAUUCACCAUCUAACAUGUCAUUUCGAGGGAUGUACGAGAAAGCAGAAGAAGCUAUCUGUGAGCAGACAAUGGCCGACCUUUUGUAUCUAACAGAAAAUGAAGGAAAGUUACGCCUGGACACAUAUUGCAUGUAACACUUGUAAAUAUUGCAGAACUGCCAGCUUUGUUGUCUCUGCAUUAUCUGAACUGAAGAGUUAAAAGAUUUUCUUAAACCUAUGGGAUCUCGUCUACUUGCAACUGUGUGCUGAUUAGGAGUCCUCUACAAGCAGAAGCCCUGCCUACUAUUUUCUGCAUGCCCACAAGCAUGGAUCACUCAUAUUCUGCUCACAAAUGAAUACCUGGUGUGGAGCUGCAUGAAGCAGAUAGUAAGGAAGAUGGCUCAAAUUGCACAACAUCUGAAUAUGCAUCUGACCUUGCUGAUUUCUCGCCCUGUCUUAUCUGGACCACACACACAGGCUUGAUAUGCAAGAGCCAAAUUAAAAGCAAAAUUAGUGUACCAGAACUUAAUAAUGCAAGACGCAUGUAAUAGAAUAUAAAAUAAAGCAAAUGCAGUAAUGUGGUUUAAGAAA